GAACUGGGAUGGGCGAUGCUGGCUGAGCGGAUCCACCUAUUAUUAGUGCGCUGGGAUUGGUUCCUUGGCGCAGCGUACCCGAGGUGGAGCCAAUCACGAUGCUGGGGCUGGGAGGUGAUGGGCGGCCGCCUCCUCACUGGAGGGAUUCCUGGAGAAGCUGCAGUGUGGGGAUGCUCUAGACCGAGUACUGCCCCCAGUGUCUUUCCACCUCCUCCUGCAGCAGCGGCAGCGGCAGCAGCAGCAGCAGCAGCAGUUAGCAACGGCAACUUGAGGCUGCACCCCGGGCAAGACCCCAGGGUGGUGCUCAGCCAAGAAGGGGCUCGGCGCCCCGAAGGGGUGUGUGAAGGGUGGGGGCGGCCAGCUGGGACCAGCUGGUGGCCCUGGAAAACCUCCCACACACCCACACCCACACACCCCUUUUGUGUUGCAGGCUGCCCCUCCAAGAGCGGAGGCAGCGAGAGUACGCGUGUGCCUCGCGCCGGUCCACGCGGGGAGAGCACUGGGGACGGAGACCCGGCACCACCUCCCGGUCCGCCUUCCAGAUGGGAUUUCACCAUGAUGGCCAGGCAGGUCUUGAACUCCUGACCUCAGGUGAUCCACCCACCUCGGCCUCCCAAAGUGCUAGGAUUACAGGAGUAAGCCACUGCGCCCAGCCACCAUCUAAUAUUUGGAAAACAGGAAAACUAGCAAGAGCUAGCAAGAACUAGCAAGAGCUUGAACAAACGCCUGGACUCAGAUUGGAAAACUGCUCAUUUGUCCACCGCUUCAUUCCUGGAAAUCGCACUGGAACUGCCUGAUUAAG